rnacentral:rRNA from 1 species
GAUGAACGCUGGCGGCGUGCCUAAUACAUGCAAGUCGAGCGAACAGACGAGGAGCUUGCUCCUCUGACGUUAGCGGCGGACGGGUGAGUAACACGUGGAUAACCUACCUAUAAGACUGGGAUAACUUCGGGAAACCGGAGCUAAUACCGGAUAAUAUAUUGAACCGCAUGGUUCAAUAGUGAAAGACGGUUUUGAUGUCACUUAUAGAUGGAUCCGCGCCGCAUUAGCUAGUUGGUAAGUUAACGGCUUACCAAGGCAACGAUGCGUAGCCGACCUGAGAGGGUGAUCGGCCACACUGGAACUGAGACACGGUCCAGACUCCUACGGGAGGCAGCAGUAGGGAAUCUUCCGCAAUGGGCGAAAGCCUGACGGAGCAACGCCGCGUGAGUGAUGAAGGUCUUCGGAUCGUAAAACUCUGUUAUUAGGGAAGAACAAAUGUGUAAGUAACUAUGCACGUCUUGACGGUACCUAAUCAGAAAGCCACGGCUAACUACGUG